GCGGGUGUGGUGGAACUGGCAGACACGCCGGCCUUAGGAGCCGGUGGGCGAAAGCCCUUGGAGGUUCGAGUCCUCUCGCCCGCAUCA
rnacentral:tRNA from 1 species